rnacentral:lncRNA from 10 species
AGCUGGAAAGGCUGAGAGAUAGUCAAGCACCUUGGCAGUUGAAUAAGGAAAUCUGAGGUUAGAGAAGUCUGGGCUAUAGAUGUAGCUUUGAUCCAAGUGUGGUUUCUCACUAACAAAAAAUAAAUAAAUAAAUAAAAUAAACAGAAAAAAAUAGCUUUGGGAAUUGUCACCUUCAGUUUGCACUUCUGGGUCUAUCAGGCCUCAGGAGCUGUUAGCCAACUGUUUCCCUGAAACAACAGCCUCAGGGGUCAAACAGGUUUCAGAAUUGACAACACUUCCAUUGUCCUGCCCAGGGGCACCCCUCAGCAAGGCGUAGGCAACUACUCUGGCCCCAGGGAACCCUUUCCACCACCCUCCUAGGAUCCACAGCACUUCUACCUAUGCUGCGCAGGGGAGCCUCUCAGCAAGGCACAGAUAUCUCUGGCCCCAAGGCGCCCCUCCCACCACCCUCCCGCAGACUCGGGGCGGUCGGCUCGGGUCGCGGCACCCCCUGGCGGCGCGCGGCGGGAACUGCAUCAAGGUCGCAUUCUCACACUUUACAAAAGAAAGGCAUGCUUCUCCUAUCCCGUCUUUCCUCGGGACAACGUGAAAGGCUGUUGAUGCUAAGACAGGGAAUGACCUGCAGUAUCAGCAGGCGCAGGCCCUGGAAGCUACCUGGACAAGAAGAGCAAGUGUGGGACAAGGGCAGGGCAAGCACCUGGCGAACUGCCUCCUGACAUUUCUGUAUGGAAAUCUCAUCCGGCUCCCCCUGGUACUCCGGCACUUAUCAGGGAAACAGACACACAGAAAGUCAGGUCACAGGAAGACAGAGAAAUCCAACCAUCUUUUAAAAAUAAAACAAAACAGAGACAUACGGUCAAUUUUCUGUGCCACCAAAGUGCAUGGAAACUUAUCUCCUAGAAUCUGAACGACCUGUUCCAAGAGAAAAGAGAACACUUAUCACCAUCUAGUGAUUCUCCAUGUGAGCACGUGAGCUGUCAUCCGCCUUUCUCAUCGAUAACUCUGCUGCCCAUCUCCUAAAGCUUACCAACUCAGGCCUGUGGGCCUCACCCCGGCUUUCAGGGUCCCACCCCAGCAAGCCAGCCCCUUCCAUCUCCUUGCUUCUCUAUCUCUUCUACGUCAGGUCUCUGCUUGUGCUAAGCCCCCAUCCAGAACACACUCUUCUCUUCUCAAUGCUCCCAGAAACCCUAGCCAUCCUCCUAGACCAGGAAUUCUCUAACAGAAGAUACCCAGAAUUCAGAAGGCCUAUGAACAUGGAUUGGGAAAAAAAACUUUAUUCUUAGUAACCCUUAAUUGAAAUGUAGUAACUUUUUCAAUUAUGAAUAUAGGUAACAAACCAAAAUAUUACUAGCAGUGCCUGUGACUUUUAACCCUACUAAAAUCACAGAUGUUGUUAUAACUCAUUACAAUUGCUGCAGAUAUCUCAAAAUAUCAUUUAUCUUGAUAUUUUAAAAUUAAGGGGCUGGGUCCUGUGGCUCACGCCUGUAAUCUUAGCACUUUUGGAGGCCAAGGUGGGCAGAUUGCUUGAGCCCAGAAGUUUGAGACUAGCUUGAGCAACAUGGCAAAACCCCAUCUUUACAAAAAAUACAAAAAUUAGCUGGGCAUAGUGGCAUGUGCCUGAAGUUCCAGCUACUCAAGAGGCUGGGGCAGGAGGAUUGCUUGAGCACAGAAGGUUGAGGCUACAGUGAGCCAAGAUUGCACCAUUGCACUCCAGCCUUAGGCGACAGAGUGAGACUCCGUCUCAAAAAAAAAAAAAAAUUAAGAUAAUUACUCAUACAUUGGUAGAUUGAAUCCUUUAAUGCAUUAAUAAAGUAUAUAUAACUAAAUC